UACGUAGGGUCCGAGCGUUGUCCGGAAUUACUGGGCGUAAAGAGCUCGUAGGUGGUUUGUCGCGUUGUUCGUGAAAACUCACAGCUCAACUGUGGGCGUGCGGGCGAUACGGGCAGACUUGAGUACUGCAGGGGAGACUGGAAUUCCUGGUGUAGCGGUGGAAUGCGCAGAUAUCAGGAGGAACACCGGUGGCGAAGGCGGGUCUCUGGGCAGUACUGACGCUGAGGAGCGAAAGCGUGGGGAGCAAACAGG
rnacentral:rRNA from 1 species